AAAGUGUUUCCAUCGCCAGCAAGACGACGGCGAUGAGGUCUCGAGGGAACAAGAUGGAUAGCGAAGGUCCGCUAAUGGAUUGUGGAGUGCGGUGUCUCCGGAGCGAUGCCAGUGCUCCUGAAAAAAGUUAACGUGACAAUACAAGCAACUGGACACGUGGUUUCCUGCCUCUGUGGAGCCGCUAUCUUCCUGCAUUAAUAACGUCCUCAGCUGCUCGGUUCCGGAUGACUCACAGCUGUGAAUGGAAACAGCCAGAAUAGUUUGAAGAUGCUGCCACUUGUUCCAGUCUUUGGUGAUCACCUCCCAGCCUGUAGGCCUGCAGGU